rnacentral:rRNA from 1 species
UACGUAGGGUGCGAGCGUUGUCCGGAAUUAUUGGGCGUAAAGAGCUCGUAGGCGGUCUGUCGCGUCUGCUGUGAAAAUCAGGGCUCAACCCUGGACCUGCAGUGGGUACGGGCAGACUAGAGUGCGGUAGGGGAGAUCGGAAUUCCUGGUGUAGCGGUGAAAUGCGCAGAUAUCAGGAGGAACACCGGUGGCGAAGGCGGAUCUCUGGGCCGUAACUGACGCUGAGGAGCGAAAGCAUGGGGAGCGAACAGG